rnacentral:rRNA from 1 species
UACGUAGGGGGCAAGCGUUGUCCGGAAUCAUUGGGCGUAAAGAGCGUGUAGGCGGCCAGACAGGUCCGUUGUGAAAACUAGAGGCUUAACCUCUAGACGUCGAUGGAAACCGUCUGGCUAGAGUCCGGAAGAGGAGAAUGGAAUUCCUGGUGUAGCGGUGAAAUGCGCAGAUAUCAGGAAGAACACCCGUGGCUAAGGCGGUUCUCUAGUACGGUACUGACGCUGAGACGCGAAAGCGUGGGGAGCGAACAGG